GAUGAACGCUAGCUACAGGCUUAACACAUGCAAGUCGAGGGGAAACGACAUCGAAAGCUUGCUUUUGAUGGGCGUCGACCGGCGCACGGGUGAGUAACGCGUAUCCAACCUGCCCAUCACUUGGGAAUAACCUUGCGAAAGUAAGACUAAUACCCAAUGAUAUCCCACGAAGGCAUCGGAAUGGGAUUAAAGAUUUAUCGGUGAUGGAUGGGGAUGCGUCUGAUUAGCUUGUUGGCGGGGUAACGGCCCACCAAGGCAACGAUCAGUAGGGGUUCUGAGAGGAAGGUCCCCCACAUUGGAACUGAGACACGGUCCAAACUCCUACGGGAGGCAGCAGUGAGGAAUAUUGGUCAAUGGGCGAGAGCCUGAACCAGCCAAGUAGCGUGCAGGAAGACGGCCCUAUGGGUUGUAAACUGCUUUUAUAAGGGAAUAAAGUGGGUCACGUGUGACUUUUUGCAUGUACCUUAUGAAUAAGGACCGGCUAAUUCCGU
rnacentral:rRNA from 1 species